rnacentral:rRNA from 1 species
AAUGAACGCUGGCGGCAGGCCUAACACAUGCAAGUCGAACGAGUGGCGGAGGGGUGAGUAGGGUAGGGGAAAGUGCGUGAAGGAGGGGGAUAAGGAGGGGAAACGGUAGCUAAAAGCGCAAAAGGUCAGAUGUGCCGAGGUGGGAGUAGCGAGUAGGUGGGGUAACGGCUCACCUAGGCGAAGAGACCUAGCAGGUCUGAGAGGAUGACCAGCCACACUGGAACUGAGACACGGUCCAUACUCCUACGGGAGGCAGCAGUGGGGAAGAUUCCGCAAUGGGCGCAAGCCUGAUGCAGCCAUGCCGCGUGUGUGAAGAAGGCCUUCGGGUUGUAAAUCUCUUUCAGCGGGGAGGCGUUACCCGCCCAAGAAGCACCGGCUAACUCCGUGCCAGCAGCCGCGGUAAUUC